rnacentral:lncRNA from 1 species
UGGGGCAUCUUAAAAUUUUAUAAAGACAUGGCCUCCAAGUGGUCAGACCCGUCCUCUCCUUUUGGGAGAGGUCCCGGAUUUAAAAUCUUUAAGGAUGCAUAUAAGUAUCUAGGUAUGUAUAAUUUUGUAUCUAGGUAUGUAUAAUUUUUUCUAGAAUGGGUUCCAUACCAUUUCUUAAAUAUAAGAAAAAGGAUAUUUAAGUAUGAGGAAGCAUACAUAAGAAAAAAUUAGCAGUUUCUAAUUUACAACUUGCAAAGCAACGGUGGAUUAUGUUCA